UGGCUUUGAGCUUCAUGGCAGCCAGUAUAAAAAAGGAUUGACAUGAUCUCAUAGUUUUAUAUCGCUCACAUGAUACAUAUCACUUCCAAAGCAGUAGCUUUUCUGAGCACAAAAUACUAAAAAUCCUCAGGUGAGAUUUAGUAAGAGGGCUAAGACAGCAACUGGUUCUCUUUUUCAGCAACCACAGAAGACAACUGCAAUGGGACAUGCCAUACCAGCGCCAACUGCCUCACCAACUCAGAUGGUACAGCUUCAUGCAAGUGUGCAGCAGGAUUCCAAGGAAACGGGACCAUCUGCACAG
rnacentral:sRNA from 1 species